rnacentral:rRNA from 1 species
AAAAUUUAAUAACUUGUUUAUAAUAUUUUUUUUUAAUUUUUAUAAGAAAAAUAAUUUUAUUGAUUUGUAAUUAAGUAAUUUUUAAUAAAAUAAAUAAUAAAUAAACUAUAGAUUAAAGUACUGUAAAGGAAAGUUUAUAAUAUAAAAUUUUUUUAUAGUAAUUUUAAAAUUAUAUACCUUGUGUAUCAGGGAAAAUUUAUAUAAUUUAAGUAUUGUAAAUAUCUCGAAAUAAAAACAGUUAAUUUUAUAAAAAAGUUUUUGUAAAAAAUAAAUUUUUAAUAUAAAAUUAAAGAUGAAAUAUCAGCCGAGUUUUAUUAUAUCUAGUUUUUUAAAAAAUAAAUUUAAUUUAUUUUUUAUAUUUAAUUAUAUAUAAAAUUAAAGUAUAGGAGGGAUUAGCUUCUUAUAAUAUAGAUUAAUAAAAAGUUAUAUAAAUUUUAAAUACUUUAAUUAGUCUUAAAAGUAGAUAUAUUUAUAAAGUGUUUUAACUAAAUUUUUUUUAUUAUAUUAUUUAUAAUAACUUUUUUGAAAUAUUAAAAAAUUAAUUUUAAUAAGGAAAAUUUUAAUAUAAUGAUUUUAUUAGUAAAAUUUAAUGUUAAUUUAAAAAAUAAAAUAUUAUAUAUUGUUUAAUAAUUUUAUAAUAAUAUAAAGGAAUUCAGCAAAAAAUUUCUUUGCCUGUUUAUCAAAAACAUGUCUGUUUGAAGGUAUAAAAAGUUUAACCUGCCCACUGAUAAAUUUUUUAAAGGGCCGCGGUAUUCUGACUGUGCAAAGAAUCUCUAGAGGUUCCCCUUUUACCGAGCUCCUUGUAUGAAUGGUUUGACAAAAGAAAAUCUGUCUUUAUAAUUAUUUAUUGAAUUUAACUUUUAAGUGAAAAGGCUUAAAUAAAUUAAAAAGACGAUAAGACCCUAUAAAGCUUAAUAUUAAAUUUUUAUUUAAUUAAAUUUUGAAUUAUAAUAAAAAUUUGGUAAAUAAAUUUUAUUUUGUUGGGGUGAUAAUGGUAAAAUGAUUAUUAACUGUUAAUUUUUUUAGACAAAAAUAAGUGAAUAAGUGAUUUAUUAAUAAAGGAUCCUGUAUUAAAGAUUAAAAGUUUAAGUUACUUUAGGGAUAACAGCGUUAUUUUUUUUGAGAGUUCUUAUCGAGAAAAAAGUUUGCGACCUCGAUGUUGAAUUAAAAUAUCUAUAUAAUUGUAGCAGUUAUAUAAGAAGGUCUGUUCGACCUUUAAAAUUUUACAUGAUUUGAGUUCAGACCGGCGUAAGCCAGGUCGGUUUCUAUCUUUUAAUAUUUAAAAAUUAUUUUAGUACGAAAGGAUUGAAUAAUUAAAAUUAUUUUUAAUAAUUGGAUGAGCU